AAAUGAAUGAGACCAGAUAGUGCUCUUGAAUGUUAUGGAGAGUCUCCCACGAGAAAUUGCCGGCGAUAUACUGUCAAGACUGCCUGUGACAUCUUUAGUUAACAUUUCUCAUCUGAUGGAGACAGAAUUGAGGUUGUCAAGAAAAUCCGCGUACCGACCUUGUCUGAGUUCUAUGUGACAGCUUCAUGUAAUGGUCUGCUAUGCUUAAUUAUGUGAUUUCAUUACACAGCAGCAAACUCUUUAUAUACAAUCCUUUCACAAUGGAUGUUUUGGCGCUCCCAGAUUCUGCACAGUAUCCGAAUCAGCAGGUUGUGGUUGGAUUUGGUUUUUCCUCCAUGGAGAAUGAUUACAAAGUUGUUAAGAUUGUAUAUUAUAGCCAUAGAGGAAGUAUCCGUCCCUCUGGAGGUAAUCUCCCACAAUCAAGCGUUGAAAUUUUGAGCCUUCGCAGCCUCACCUGGAGAAGUUUAGGGGAGAUUCCUUACCAAAUAUUUGGCAAGCGGCCAUCACAGGUUUUGGUCAAUGGGAGACUAAAUUGGGCAAUUGGCCUUUAUACCGGUGCAGUUCAGCUCGUUUGAUUGUCUCGUUUGACCUAUCAGAAGAGAAGUUUUACGAAGUUCCAAGGCCUGACUGUGGCAGUUUGGACAAAUUUAAUCAUAAUCUGGUGGUUCUAGGAGGUUGUCUUUCUGCAUCUGUCUAUAGAAAAGACGGAUAUUUUGAGAUCUGGGUUAUGAAGGAAUAUAACGUGAAGGAAUCUUGGAUCAAUCUAUACAACAUAGACAUUAUGGAUCAAUCCUUCGAGAACUCAGGGCUACACUUAAAACGUUCAUAUGCUCGAGUUAUAUGCCUUUUGAAGAACGGUGAGAUCUUAUUGGAGAUGACAAUCACAAGAGUGUUGCUCAGUUUUGAUCCAAAAUCUAAAACCUUUAAGCAUCUUGCAUUUCAUGGAUUACCAAGAUGGUAUGAAACCAUUGUCCACGUGGGGAGUCUCCACUGGAUUGACACACAUGUGGUUGCUACUUGAUGCACGUGGAGCAAUAAACAGAGGUGUAUGUCCAUCUGCCCCCUCCCUUUUUUUAUCAGCUUGAUACCUUCUGGAUCUGUUCAAGAAUUGCCUUUUUUUUUCUUUCUUUUUUUUUUUUACAGUAAAAUUGCCUAAUUUUGAAUUCCACUUUUCACAACA